ensembl:lncRNA
AUAACAAAUCAUAUAAUUUUUUCUGAGUCAUUCUGAUAUUUGACCAUAUAUUAUGUUUGUGUGAGCUUUUAUGAAAGAUUAUUAUUUUUAUAUCAAGAUGAUAGGACCUGGAUUGCUAUGGUUUUGAAAUGUUAGACUUGGAAAGACCCUGGUUUAUUAACCAGUCCAAUCUGCUGCAAUUCAUAGAGGAGAAAACUAAGGUCCAUUGAAGGGUGAAAGAGUUUUACAAAGUCAACCAGCUAAUAACAGAUUCAAGAAUGAGAUUUAAGUCACCUUUCCAUAGUCUUUUUUUCUCAACUUCUGCAUCUGUAAGAAAACAGGCUUUUAAAUAUAAUCACUAAUAUUAACAUAUUACCUGAAGAUAACCACAAAUAAAGUAGUACUUUUGCAUUAAUUUUUUGAGCUUAUAUGCAAACAUAAUAAAUAUCAGGAAAGCUAACAUUUCAUAAAAGAUAGCUUCAGACCAAAUUCAAAUUGAAUUUGAAUAAAUUAGAAGUACUGUGCAUACAUAACCUUCUUGUGCACCAUGAAUAUUUGGAAAGUUAAUCCUUGUUUUUGUCAUGUCUGAAAAGGAAAAGCAAAGCAAAACAAAAACAGAACCCUAGAAAAAAAUGCUUUACUUGUUAUUUUUACAUCCAUCAGAUUUAAGAAAAAGGACUUUUUAGCUGUCAUAUCUUAUCAGCUGGAAGGAAUAAUGAAGCUUUUUUAGCUAUAGGUCCAGACACUAGUGCUGAAAAUGAUGAUUAUAGCCAGUGUACUUCUGUCUUCCAUAGUUAUUACAACUAUGAGAGCCUCACAAGUCAUGCAUCAAUUCCUCUCUUUCUCUCUCUUUCUCUCAAUGCUAACACACAAGUUUAUACAGAGUGAAUGACCAUACUAGCUCAGAAGAAGACGGCAAACAUUAAAGCAGGUGAUUCUUCCCCAUGUGGGAGAGCUCUCUCAGUAUGAGCAUGCCUUUCAUGGGCAGAAAUCAGGAAUCCACCAGCUAUUAAUGGAGAGUGCCUUGCUUUUAUUUCAGACAGCAGAGUUUUCCCAAGUUCCUCUACUCCUCUAACAGCAUUGAUCUUUAGUGUGUGUUAACCUGUGGUUUGAAAGAAAUGCUCUUGUACAUUAACAAUGUAAAUUUAAAUGAUUAAAUUAAAUUACAUUUUACCAAUGGC